UAUCCCUCCUUCCUGCAGAGAUCCAACCCCUCUCACUGAGCUGUCAGGGUGAAUCCCUGCCUGUCCCUGCCUCAGAGAAGCAUUCAGUGAACCUGCAAUUGCACUUGGAGCUCCUCUGUUCCCUCCUCUGCUGCUGGAGAGAGCUGUGGCAGUCAGCAGGGAGGGCUUUGAGGUGUCCCAGCCAGGAGAGUGAAGGAUGUCACCAAUUCUUAUCCUGGGUGUGUGCCUGCCUCAUCACAGGAAUCUCUGCUGCUUUACAGCCCUGGCUUUGGGCUGGUCCCAGCACUGGGCCUGUCAUCCUUCACCACCAAGCUGCUUUUUGCUUGUGAAGCUCUAGAACAAACAGGUUCUGGCUAUUCUGUCCUGUUCUGUCCUGUCCUGCUCCUCCCUGUCCCACUCCCCACAGGGCAGAUCUCUCCUGUAAAAAAACAACUUUAAAACUUUACAAGCCCCUUCUGCCGAGAGAGGGAAGCCUGGUUUCAUGUUUGCUGCACAAGCCAGGGAGCUCCCACAGCCUUUGAAGGCUCUUGGCUCUCCUCAGUGCUGCUUGAAGGCCCUGUCAGCUUGAUGAGACCAUUGGCUGGUGCUGCACUGUGAGCUGCACCCUGGCUCCCCUGAGAAGUCUGUCAGUGCCUCCUGUCCUUCUGCAAGGCACCCAGCAAAUGUAACAGCAGCCACACGUCAAAUGAUUUGAUUUUUGCAAGCACAGAAAGCAAAACUCAGAGCUGGGAAACCUGAGGAAACCUGGGAAACCUCUCCCAGGCUGCAUUCAGAGUGCAAGGGUUCCUCCCUGCUGUCACCAGGGAUUUCUCAGCCCCCCAAUCCUGUCAGGUGGCCUCGGGCAUCCCCUCACCCACCAGGUUGUCACUGUCACUGCCCUGGGGACAGUGCAGGCCGAUGUCCUGCCUGAAGGGAGGGCACCAGCUGCUCUUUAGGCACAGAGGGUAGCACCACACCGUGCCAGGGCAGCCCAUCCUGGGACAGAGCACACCCAGCACCCCAGAGGGCACCUCCAUUGUCACUGCCUGUGCCCAGCACUGUUCUCCAUCCUCAGCUUUGUUCUCCAUCCUCAGCUUUGUUCUCCAUCUUGUCAGACUUUCUUUACUCCACUAUGAGAAAGGAUCUAGCUGGCAGCAGUUUAAUGCAUGACAAUCCUGUUAUUACAGCUGUAAAUAAGUAACAUCUAGGGGGGGGAAAAAAGCAUUUUUAAAACUUUUUGUUGACUUUGUUUUCACUACUGAGUAGCUGGUAGCCACUUUCUUAAGGGAUUUCUCAUGGAAACUGUGACCUUUAUUCUCUCUAUUUCUCUCUCUUUCUUUCUGAGAUUUUUUUCUGUGUUUCAAAUGCUUUUUGGUGCAAUGUUCAAUGCCUGUUUGUAUUUUUGAAUUGUAUUUUUCAACCUUUGCUGGAAAAAAGAAAAAAAAGGCCCAUUCUAAUUGGCAGGAUUUUUAGUCCUGCCAUUUUUUUCAGCUUUUAGCUUUUUCAGUAAGUCAAAGCAACAGAAAAAUGCCUCAAAAAAUUACAGUGAAGUUCUGAGGAGAGAUUAGAAACCAUCAGAAACAAGAAGUACAUGAGUAAGAUCAGCAAGCUGAGUGGAGGAGGAGGAGGACUCUUGUGACACCUACCAACCUCCUGAUGUAGCACACAAGGUGGGACUAGACCUCUUCACUGAAUUCAAUCACUCUGCUGUUCCACUCUACCCACUCUCUCGAACUCCGAUCAAAACAAAUAAAAAUUCAUAUUUUAAAAAAACA
rnacentral:lncRNA from 1 species